rnacentral:misc_RNA from 1 species
GAAUUUUAUUAGGUUUAGAAUUUACUAUUAUUAGGUCUACUAUUAUUUUCCUAGUUUAUCUUAUUUAGCAUUCCUAAAUAGAGUUGAAUUAGGGUUUCUACAUCCUAAUGUAGUUAGCAUUUCAAAACUCCAUAGAUAGGGCUUAGUUUCUCUAUUUUAAUUACAGAAUUAUUAUGAUUUUGACUACUGAAGAGAAAUAAAUUGUUAAAAGUUAACAAUUUAUUUCUCUUCAAGUUUGAGAAUUUGUUUCUUAUCCUCAAAUCCCCGUUACACUUACUGGUUCUACAUCACAAAGUCAUUCAGAAGUUGAAAGAAAGGAUAUUGAAAUAAUUUGGACACAUGUAUCGGACACCAGCAAAUGCAACAGUAUGAAAUGUUGAACAUAUUGAAGUUACAGCAGAAGAACAAAGCAAAGGGCAGACCCUGGAAGAUGUGAGGGGAAGUAGUGAAAAAAGAUUUAGUAGCCCUAGAUCUUUUAGACAAAGAAGCCCCCCUAAUAGUUGAAUGGAAGAAAAGGAUCCAUAUACUGACCUACUGUAGUUAAGUUGAAUUGAAAUGCUGACAUAUUAAGAUACAUAUAAAUUUUCUCCAGUUUUUUUU